UUUGUACUCCCUCCGUCCCAAAAUUCUUGUCUUAAAUUUGUCUAAAUACGGAUGUAUCUAGUUACAUUUUAGUGUUAGAUACAUCCGUAUCUAAACAAAUGUAAGNAUUUUGGGACGGAGGGAAUACUAC
rnacentral:pre_miRNA from 1 species